CGCAAUGAUCCUGGCUUGUGAUGACAACAAACCAAACCAAACAAAACCCAACACACUGAAAGUCAGUUGCAACAAGUAAGAAAGGAAGUAUUGGAGCUCUCAUAGCCUCGCCUAGAAUUGGGCUUUUCCAGGAACCCAUCCUGUGAUGUGAACAUUGAUCAAUACACCCCAAGAUAGGAUGCACAGUGAGAACCAGAAAAACUCUUGUCUCACCCUCCUUCAGAAAAUGCACUCACCUCAUGAAAUGUUUGCAGGACUGGCCUGACUGGAAAGCACCGAAAAGAAACAUAUUCUUAGCAAAUAUUCCGAGAAUUUCACAUUCUGCAGAACUUCUUGAUUCGUAUGCAUUUCAUUUGAGUUGAAUACAAGUUCUUUAUGUCUUACUUGGCAAAUAGAAAUAAACUUUUGAAGCAUGAAAAUGGGAAGUUCGAAAUCUAUCCAAUAGGAAUCCUUCAAGCAUUUCAAACUAAGAAGUUCUCCCGUUACACUUACAUUUAAAGGUGAUCUCAUGAGCUGUCUAGAAGAAAGAAUUAGA
rnacentral:lncRNA from 1 species